rnacentral:rRNA from 1 species
UACGGGGGGGGCAAGCGUUGUUCGGAAUUACUGGGCGUAAAGGGUGCGCAGGCGGUUCUGCAAGUCAGGCGUGAAAGCCCCGGGCUUAACCUGGGAACUGCGUCCGAUACUGGGAGGCUUGAAUCCGGGAGAGGGAUGUGGAAUUCCAGGUGUAGCGGUGAAAUGCGUAGAUAUCUGGAGGAACACCGGUGGCGAAGGCGGCAUCCUGGACCGGUAUUGACGCUGAGGCGCGAAAGCCAGGGGAGCAAACGGG